GCUGGGUGGGGAGCAAUUUAUUCUUCGCCGUCCCAUCCCAGCCCAUCUUCGGUUACUCCACCUACCCCUCCCAUCCCUCCUCCUCCUCCUCUUCCUCCUCCUUCUCUACCAACGCCCGCACUACCUUCUGAUUCUCUACCUCCUCUUCAUCCUCCAUCCCCCUUCUACUUCUCUCUCUCCCCCCUCCUCCCUCCCGCCUCCUUUCUCCCUCUCCCCCUCCCUCUCUCCUCUGAAUAAGCAAGCUUUUGCCUCUAAAAGUCACAAGUAAUCCUCGUGUGUGACAGAGAGAGAGAGAGAGAGAGAGAGAGAGAGAGAGAGAGGGAGACAGACGCGAGCUGGCCGAGAGGAGCAGAAGGCAGGAGGGGAAAUCUGGCACCACGGCUGGGAGAGGAAACUUGAUGCUUCUGGGCCAACAUUUGCCAGGGCCUCGCUCGAGACGCCGAAAGGAGCCUGAUUGUGUGCUGCGGCCGUGGAGUGACUCUGGAUCUUGUCUUCCGGCCGGCGCCUCGGUUCCUGCCCAGCUGGAUUUGGGGGGCAGCACUGCCUGGCGCGGGGAGAUCAAAUGAGACUGCAAAGAAUCAUAAAAUGAACAGACAAUCCAACCGACUAAAGACCGGGGGCAGCAGCAGGCCAGCAAGACGGCAUCUUCUCCUUCUGAGCCUAGAAGCCCUGUGAAAUCGCGGAUCUUCCCCCUAAAACACACACACACAAGAUAUGUGCAAUCAAGCUGCCACCACUUGGUAAAAAGCUCAUGGUGCCUAACCAAAAAGGAUCAGGAGCAGAUCCUUGAAUCAGCUGUCACUUCUAUAGAAUGGGAUGGUUUUUUUUUCUUCCUCUUUAACCUGCGCUGGAAAUUGCCGUUGGCUUUGUACAUCUCUAUAGAGAGAGGCUAAAGAGUCUUGCGUGAGAAAGAAGCGAUUUACAAUGCAAAUAGAGGCCUGUGAAGGGACGGAUGCUGCUGCUCACUCGUAACAGCUUGCUGCACCUUAAUAGCUGGUUUUAUUUUCUGAUAUUAAUAGAUGAAUUGUUGGCUAACGCUGCCGGAGAUUACUUGCUGAAAGAAAAAAAAAGUUCGGAAUAAACUCUGAAGGCAACAGAUCUUAUUUGGAUGUUUCAGCAGCGCGCACACACAAACAGAAACCAGGUCAUAUUUACAUAAAAGAGGAAUCUUAAGCGCGGCAAGUAUCCUGGACGACUACUCUUCAGUACUGCCAGAAAGGAUCGGGACCUGGAGUCUGGCAAGAGAAAGACAGAGGCCUGUGUGGGAAGCGAGUUGUUAUCUUUGGUUAUCUAGCUGUAUGAGUGUAUUGGUCUUCAUAAAGCUAGAUAACCGAAAGUAAAAACUCCUUCAAGAUCGUCGGGGAGCGUGUGAGAAUGAAAGACUACAACCGAGAGACAGUAAAAACCAGAAAGGUCAGGAAUACUUAUUGAAUCUAACUUUGUUUUUGUUUUUUUUGUGUGUGUUUGUUUGUUUGUUUUUUUCUUAUGAUUAAAGGUGGGAUGAAAGGAAAUUAAGUGACACACAUAUGCGAAAAUAUGAAGGUGCCAGAUAUAUCUUGAGAGGGGUUGUGGCAGCGGCAAAGGAGAAUUGUAAAGUGCUAAUAAGUAAAGAUGCAUGUGCAAUUUGUUCUAUUUUAAGGCAAAAGUUUAUAUAUGAGAGAUUUUUUUUUUCUUAGAAAGCUGUUGCAGAGAUGCCUGGUACCUGGUUUUAAAAUGAUUCCAUAAUAUGUAGAACUUGGGCAGUUCCCUUCUGAGGCUCCUCCCCCUCAAAAUUUGAAGAUUGUGCUUGGAAAUUACCUUACACGUAUUUGGGCUGUAUGUCAAUUUAUACGAAAUUAGACUUUCAGAGAAGUUUAUACUGGAAGGUUAAUAAUUUAUAUCUACUGAGGGUUUAGAGCUAGCAGGCAAAAUGAAAAAAAAAAAUAAGCAAGAGCUGAUUUUUAUUCUUCUAUUCAAAAUACAAGCACAGAUGCUUCUCUGUUCCAAGAGGGUUUCCUUGAGGAAGCUACUGAAGCAGAAAGACAUGAUGGAGACGAGAUCGCCUCCCCUCUUGUCAAAGUGUUAAAAAAAUAUUCUGUCUUACUCUGCGCCUAGCAUUGGAAAUGAAAGUGACAUUUACGCCACAACCCACGUGUGCGCCUCCUCUCUUUUUGUUUAAGGAUGAUCAGGUCUAUCCAGGAAACAGCUCUGGCAUCCCAAACUGAAAUAAUUAGGACGUAUAUAGACCUGACAAAAAUGGAAAGGGGGUGGGGAAUCUGAGGGUCUGUCUUGCCUAAUUGAUUCCGCUAAACGGAAUGCAGGAGAUGUGAACGGCAGGACGCUCCGAUUCCCACGCUCAGGGGCAAGUGAUAAAGCGGGGCCGGGCAGCCUAUGACAGACAGCCCUGUUGGGGGGUGGGGGUAUGAAAAAAACAUCAAGUGCACACACCAUACUCAUCUCCAUCGCUUGAGAAAGUAAAGGCAUUUCCCACCCACAGCCAUCUGCAGCUUCCCAAAUGGCAACACCAACUGGUCUGUAGCUGCUGCAUACUGUCUGUUUCUGUUAAUUUUUUAACCACUGUGUAAUCUGGCCAUAAUUAAGUUUAGCUUUCUUUGUUGUUUGAGAUUUUCAGGAUUCAAGGAAAGCUAGUAGAAAGCAAUUCCAAGAAAGUCCCAUCAUUGCCUGCCCCUCGUGUCAAAAUCUCAGUCCAUGAGAUUAUGGCCUUGGUACCACAUUUUGGCUUUUGUUUUGGGUGGGCUGUAUUUUAAAAUACAUACUCUAUGUAACAGUCGUUAUUAUAAUUUCAUGAGGCUUUUUGCCUCUUAACAUGAUACAUCUAGAAACUUGAUCUAAUUGUGCUAGUAGAUACAUACUAGAAGAAAAACUAUAAAGUCAUUAACCUGGAGGAAGUUGAUUAUGAUAACAAUAUGAUAAAAAGUUUGUUUUAGAAUAGACUCAGCUAGAUGGGUCUAAAUAGCCAUUUUAAUUUUAUCUAAAAAUAACACUAUGCCUAGCAGAAACUUUGGCUCUUUGGAGGUCCCCAUUGUCACCUUUUUGUAAAAGUCCUUAAGUUUUCCAUAUUCACCUAGCAAACAUUUGUAUAGGCAUUUACACAGAAAUAUAACCAUUGCAAGUAGAAAAUAUCCAAAAUAUCUUGUUAUCUUCCAUGUGGCCUAGAUUACUGACAAUCCCAAAUAUACAGUUUUUUCUUUAAAAGUAGUACAAUUUCCUUUGUAGCUUCAAUUCCUUAUAUCAUUCAGACUGGAGCAGGCUGUUAAACCAUUGUUACUUUCAGUUAGAAAGUCUUUGAGACUUUAUAUACGUAAAUUCUCAAUUUGGCUGCUGUACACGUGCCAAAGUUUCACUACUGUAGUGACCGUUGAGAAGACCCUUGUUUAUUUACAUUUGAAGCACAGUUUGUGCAAACAACCUUUCAUUGUUAAGUGCCUGUAUUCCUUUCGUUUACUUCAUGUCCAGGGGUGCUAUUUACCUAGAACCAUUGUCUACUACAAUUAACAUUUACAUUACAAAGUGUGUGGUUUUCUUUCUCAAGGAGGUUCAAUUAAGGCAAUAAGAUGUUUGCUGGGGAAACCUAUUGUUUACUGAAAGCACUCAAUGGAGUCAAAUUACUGAAGCUUUUGCCUACAUCUUGGUCUUUUAUGUAAAUAUGUUAAAAUAACAUCUAAGGAAAAUAAACAAUAUUAUAAUUCUGUGUUUGCCAUUGUCAUAUCAAACUUGCUUUGUAUCAUACUAAUGUUACAUAACUUAUCGAUCAAUAAAAAUACAUUUCAAUGUUA